UCCCUGGAAGUCCAGUGGUUAAGACUCUGCAUUUCCACUUCAGGGGGUGCAGGUUCAAUCCCUGGUCGGGGAG
rfam:TPA: Bos taurus chromosome 15, whole genome shotgun sequence.